rnacentral:rRNA from 1 species
CAUGUAGGGUGGGUCAUUAAGUUAGGUGUGAAAUCCCCGGGCUCAACCCUGGGAACAGCACUUAAAACUGGUGGUCUAGAGUAUUGUAGAGGAAGGUAGAAUUUCCAUGUGUAGCGGUGAAAUGCGUAGAGAUGUGGAGGAAUACCGGUGGCGAAGGCGGCCUUCUGGACAAAUACUGACGCUGAGAUGCGAAAGCGUGGGGAGCAAACAGGAUUAGAUACCCUGGUAGUCCACGCUGUAAACGAUGUCGAUUUGGAGUUUGGUGGCAUGACUGCUGGGCUCCGAAGCUAACGCGUUAAAUCGACCGCCUGGGGAGUACGGCCGCAAGGUUAAAACUCAAAUGAAUUGACGGGGGCCCGCACAAGCGGUGGAGCAUGUGGUUUAAUUCGAUGCAACGCGAAGAACCUUACCUGGUCUUGACAUCCACAGAAUUUUGUAGAGAUACGAAAGUGCCUUAGGGAGCUGUGAGACAGGUGCUGCAUGGCUGUCGUCAGCUCGUGUUGUGAAAUGUUGGGUUAAGUCCCGCAACGAGCGCAACCCUUAUCCUUUGUUGCCAUCGGUUAGGCCGGGAACUCAAAGGAGACUGCCGUUGAUAAAGCGGAGGAAGGUGGGGACGACGUCAAGUCAUCAUGGCCCUUACGACCAGGGCUACACACGUGCUACAAUGGCGCAUACAAAGAGAAGCAAACCAGCGAUGGCAAGCGGACCUCAUAAAGUGCGUCUAAGUUCGGAUUGGAGUCUGCAACUCGACUCCAUGAAGUCGGAAUCGCUAGUAAUCGUGAAUCAGAAUGUCACGGUGAAUACGUUCCCGGGCCUUGUACACACCGCCCG